rnacentral:rRNA from 1 species
GACGAAGGGGGCUAGCGUUGUUCGGAAUUACUGGGCGUAAAGCGUGCGCAGACGGUUGCGUAAGUCAGAUGUGAAAGCCCCGGGCUCAACCUGGGAAUUGCAUUUGAGACUGCGUAGCUAGGGUGCGGAAGAGGGAAGCGGAAUUUCCGGUGUAGCGGUGAAAUGCGUAGAUAUCGGAAGGAACACCAGUGGCGAAAGCGGCUUCCUGGUCCAGCACCGACGUCAGGCACGAAAGCGUGGGGAGCAAACAGGG